UUGAACGCUGGCGGCAUGCCUUACACAUGCAAGUCGAACGGCAGCACGGGAGCAAUCCUGGUGGCGAGUGGCGAACGGGUGAGUAAUACAUCGGAACGUGUCCUGUAGUGGGGGAUAGCCCGGCGAAAGCCGGAUUAAUACCGCAUACGCUCUGCGGAGGAAAGCGGGGGAUCCUUCGGGACCUCGCGCUACAGGGGCGGCCGAUGGCAGAUUAGCUAGUUGGUGGGGUAAAGGCCUACCAAGGCGACGAUCUGUAGCUGGUCUGAGAGGACGACCAGCCACACUGGGACUGAGACACGGCCCAGACUCCUACGGGAGGCAGCAGUGGGGAAUUUUGGACAAUGGGCGCAAGCCUGAUCCAGCAAUGCCGCGUGUGUGAAGAAGGCCUUCGGGUUGUAAAGCACUUUUGUCCGGAAGGAAAACCUCGUGGUUAAUACCCGUGGGGGAUGACGGUACCGGAAGAAUAAGCACCGGCUAACUACGUGCCAGCAGCCGCGGUAAUACGUAGGGUGCAAGCGUUAAUCGGAAUUACUGGGCGUAAAGCGUGCGCAGGCGGUUCGCUAAGACAGAUGUGAAAUCCCCGGGCUUAACCUGGGAACUGCAUUUGCUGACUGGCGGGCUAGAGUAUGGCAGAGGGGGGUAGAAUUCCACGUGUAGCAGUGAAAUGCGUAGAGAUGUGGAGGAAUACCGAUGGCGAAGGCAGCCCCCUGGGCCAAUACUGACGCUCAUGCACGAAAGCGUGGGGAGUAAACAGGAUUAGAUACCCUGGUAGUCCACGCCCUAAACGAUGUCAACUAGUUGUCGGGUCUUCAUUGACUUGGUAACGUAGCUAACGCGUGAAGUUGGCCGCCUGGGGAGUACGGUCGCAAGAUUAAAACUCAAAGGAAUUGACGGGGACCCGCACAAGCGGUGGAUGAUGUGGAUUAAUUCGAUGCAACGCGAAAAACCUUACCUACCCUUGACAUGUAUGGAACCCUGCUGAGAGGUGGGGGUGCCCGAAAGGGAGCCAUAACACAGGUGCUGCAUGGCUGUCGUCAGCUCGUGUCGUGAGAUGUUGGGUUAAGUCCCGCAACGAGCGCAACCCUUGUCCCUAGUUGCUACGCAAGAGCACUCCAGGGAGACUGCCGGUGACAAACCGGAGGAAGGUGGGGAUGACGUCAAGUCAUCAUGGCCCUUACUGGGCUAGGGCUACACACGUGCAUACAAUGGUCGGAACAGAGGGUCGCCAACCCGCGAGGGGGAGCUAAUCCCAGAAAACCGAUCGUAGUCCGGAUCGCAGUCUGCAACUCGAGCUGCGUGAAGUCGGAAUCGCUAGUAAUCGCGGAUCAGAAUGUCGCGGUGAAUACGUUCCCGGGUCUUGUACACACCGCCCGUCACACCAUGGGAGUGGGUUUCACCAGAAGUAGGCUAGUCUAACCUGCAAGGAGGGACGGUUACCACGGUGGGAUUCAUGACUGGGGUG
rnacentral:rRNA from 1 species